AAUGCCUCAAGAAUUUUACUGAUGGAACUCUGAACGUUGUGCCAGACCCAAUUUUGUCCAAAAAAACACUGUUUCGGUCAUUCACCACAGGGACAUGUAAGGAGGGAAGAACCCCACGACCCCAGCUGGCGAGCUCUCCCAUACAAACUUCUAAAUUUGGCAACAAAGAAAUUGUAGAGUUUCUAAAAGGGCUUGUUUCUGAGCAGACAGGAAUUUCUGUCAAGAAUAUUUCUGCAACAGAGAAUCUUGCAUCGUAUGGAGUCGACUCAAUUGGUGUAGUCAGAG
rnacentral:misc_RNA from 1 species